rnacentral:lncRNA from 1 species
UUAGUACUUCCGGUUUGGCUUCGGCCGCCCCUCAACUCCUCUCCUUCCCCCCCCUCCGCCUCCUCGUCUCCCUCCCGCUCCUGGGAAAGCGGAUCCGUCGCUUUAAGGGUGGCUGAGAGAAGCGGCGUCUCGGGGAGGGGACCGCGCCCGCCCCCUUGGAACCACGGAGCGUGGCCGAUACAGAUUCCUGAAAUCUGUUGCUUAAAGCUGCAAGACUACCAGUCGUCAAAAGCAUCAGAGUUCUUGAGAAGGAUAAGAUUUUACCUGAAUCAGUGAUUAAAGAAUAACAGAGACUUGCCAGAAGGCUGCAUGGACAGCCAUCCCCAAGGUUCUCCAUCCAUAGUAGCGGGCUGCAGAACAACUGCCUUCUUGCUGAUAGCAUGUGACCUGUGGAUUACAGACUAUAGGAAGACUCUCGCCUGCCAUUGGCUCAAGCAACGCGGGGAAAGUCGAUUCCACUGUCCUCUUGUCCAAGGUCUGGAGUACUUUGUAGCAGUUGAGGUGAAGGGCAGUGUUGCUCAGUGACUAUCGUUGUCACUGACUUGAGAUGAAAUUUCAUCAGUGCCCAUCAGUCUUCUUGGUGGAAGUGGGGUGGAGCCAGCAACUAGCCUAUCUCUCUGUUAUAAAAAGCCUUUUAACAAAACAUUUUUUUAAAGAGUUUAUUUAUUUAUUAUGUAUACAACAUUCUGCUUCCAUGUACAUCUUCCAUGUACACACCAGAAGAGGGCACCAGAUCUUAUAACGGGUGGUUGUGAGCCACCACGUGGUUGCUGGGAAUUGAAUUCAGGACCUCUGGAAGGGCAGUUGGUGCUCUUAACCGCUGAGCCAUCUCUCCAGCUCCCUUAACAAAACAUUUUAAAUGCCAUGUCCUCUAGAUCUCUGAGCACUUGAGGACUGUCUGUCUGUUUAGUAUCUCAGCAGUUAAAAAUUUGCCUUUAGUUAGAGAAGAAUCCCUUUUUCUAAUUAAAAGCUGUACCUCUGUAAAUGGCUUACAGGAUGAACUUGAGUAGUAUAAAUAUUUUGUUAAUUUGAAAUAGACCUUUAUGAUUAUCAUCAUUUAAAGAUACAUGAGUUAAAUUUAAGUUGUAUAGAGUUAGCUUAUAUUUUAAGCUUAUAUUUAAGUUUUUGUUAAAUUAGACCUUUAUUACUUUAAAUGUUUACCAUCAUUUAAAGAUACAUAGCAAUUUAGAAAUAUGAGACUUAGCACAGUUGUAUAUAGAGUUAGAUAAGUACAAAGUUAAAUUACAGGUACAGAGACAAGCAAGACUGUGUUAUUGUUUUGUUUAAAAAGAAGAAAAGAGAAAUUGCUGAGACAUGAGACAUAAGACUAUAAGUUUAUUAUAAAGGCCCGGCAGAAUGGGGAGACUAAGAAGAGGAACAGGGUAAAUGGCUGACCGCCAUGGCCGGUCGCCAUAGAGAGACAGAGCGGGACAGAGAAACAGAGAGACAGAGAAACAGAGAGCGGGACAGGAACAGAGAGACAGAGAAACAGAGAGCGGGACAGGAACAGAGAGACAGAGAGAAACAGAGAGACAGAGAGCGUAAAGGGGCAGGGACUUAUCUUUUAAAGGGGUCCUCUGCACCUGUGUGCAGACUUAGUUCCCAUGGAACCUUGGGCUGACCAGGGUACUGCCUGUUUCACCAGGUAACAGGGGCAGGCCAGCAUAAUGCCUGAACCUUUCAGACUGGGUAACAGUAAAAAGGAGAACCAGAUGUAAUCUCUGAUCCGUACAUUGUAGCAAACUGACAGGAGAUUUAAAGGGACAGGGUAGAGUUAAACAGAGGGCCUUGGAAAGACACAGUAUUCCAUAAACAAGCCAUGAGCAACAGGGCCAGUAAAAGAAGAAAUCACAGACAAAAAAGCAAAAGUCCGGCGGCCAGGUUUACUGGCAAAGGCUGCUGGAAUGGGAGUGCCUACAGGUAAGGUAGGUCACAUGGCCAAGAUGGCAAUGACCAUAAGCCCAUUUUUUGUCUGUUUACCUGCUUGUUGGCUGCAACCAGAAAGGUUCCUCUAUGCAUUUCCCAUGGGUGAGGCAAGUGGAAAAACCGGCAAAAGCUCAUCCUCUCUGGAUGCCUGUCGGCCCGAGGGAAUUGCCAGAGGCCUGGCCCCAAAGGGUACACAGCUAUCUCCAAAACGAAAAGGACCCAGUGCUCCGAAGCAAAACACACCGCUCCCGGAACAGGGUGCUAGACCUGACCUAUGAAAGAUGCACCCAACAAGUGAAAGAAGAAAUCAGAGACAAAAAAUAAAAAGCAAAUUGUCUGGCGGCAGUGCUUGCCUGUGCAAGUCACUGAACUGAGUGGGCAGACCUAAGCUAGGUCACAUGGUCAGGAUGGCAGCCCCCAGGUCAGACCACAUGACCAAGAUGGUGGACCCCGUAAGCACAAUCUCAACUGCCCGAAGAAGUUUUUCUCCAUGAGUGAGGCAGUAAGGUGUACAAAACCAGAAAGAUCCCUUGUGGACCUGAACCAAAAACCUCAAACCUCAUUCGUGUGGAAAAUUUAAAACAAACAAACAAAAAAAACUCUCUGAGUGUCUCAAGCAGACACUGCCAAGAAGAAACACGGUCAGAGAUAGAACAAAAGAUGAGGGACAUUCCCAGGUGAAAGAAAGUUCCC